AAGACUAUACCCCUACGGAUCAUUUCUGUAGAUUUUUUUCUAGAGAUGUGUUUCCAGAGUGUUUGGUCUCACAAACCACAAGGAAGAUUUAUAGUGUUCUCUUCUGAGCAGGAAGCAGACUUUGAAUGUUGCUUUUAGCAGUUGCUCACUGUCAUUGAUGUGUUCCCCCUCUCUCUUGUAGUGAGCUGGAGGAAGAGAACACAGCCUGAG